GGGGGGGGGGGGGGGGGGGGUGGGGGGGGGCAGGGGGAGGGGGGGGGCGGGGCUGUGGUGGGGGGCUCGAGGGGCGGGCUGGGGAGUAACACGGGAGGAACCUGCCCUGGACGGUGUGAUAACUUCGAGAGACUGGGGCGAAUACCGGAGAUGAGCUCCUGCGGCAUGGUGGGGGUUGAAAAGUUUCGGAGGUGGGGGAUGAGCUCGCGGCUUAGCAGCUGGUUGGUGGGGUAGUGGCUUACAGCGUCUUUGACGGGUAGCCGGCCUGAGAGGGUGACCGGCCACAUUGGGACUGAGAUACGGCCCAGACUCCUACGGGAGGCAGCAGUGGGGAAUAUUGCACAAUGGGCGGAAGCCUGAUGCAGCAACGCCGCGUGCGGGAUGACGGCCUUCGGGUUGUAAACCGCUUUCGCCUGUGACGAAGCGUGAGUGACGGUAAUGGGUAAAGAAGCACCGGCUAACUACGUG
rnacentral:rRNA from 1 species